rnacentral:rRNA from 1 species
GACAGAGGUGCCGAGCGUUAGGCGGAAUCACUGGGCUUAAAGCGUGUGUAGGCGGAUUGGUAAGUACCUUGUGAAAUCCCACGGCUUAACCGUGGAACUGCUGGGUAUACUGCUUAUCUUGGGCCACUUAGGGGCUAGCGGAACAAACGGCGGAGCGGUGAAAUGCGCAGAUAUCGGGAAGAACACCCGUGGCUAAGGCGGCUCUCUAGUACGGUACUGACGCUGAGACGCGAAAGCGUGGGGAGCGAACAGG